rfam:Felis catus isolate Cinnamon breed Abyssinian chromosome B1, whole genome shotgun sequence.
GCCUGGGUGGCUCAGUCGGUUAAGCAUCUGACUUUGGCUCAGGUCACGAUCUCACGGUUCGUGAGUUAGAGCCCCACGUCAGGCA